CAUUUUCGGAUUCGCUUAACAAUUGGUAUCCUAACAAUCGGAUUUUCUCAUACACUUAUGAAAAAUAUUUUUCUGAAAUGGAUUUGAUGAAAUGAUUCCUGCUUAUAAAUUCCAUCUUCAAAUAUGGAUGAUAGUGUUUUUACUUGCAAAGAUUUGUUUCAUAUACAUAUCUUGAACCAUGUAAAAAUGAAGCAUGAUUUAAUCUCUCAUCGAUUUUAACUUCACUCAAAGUAAACUCACAAAUAGCUGGUAUCACAAAUGGUCUUCC
rnacentral:lncRNA from 1 species